GGAGAGAUGGAAAAAAAUAAUAAAG
rnacentral:sRNA from 1 species